GCGGGCGUGGUGGAACGGUAGACACAGGGAGUUUAAAAUUCUCGGCGCAAGCACUUGUCGGUUCGAUGCCGACCGCCCGCACCA
rnacentral:tRNA from 1 species